AAACGUAGGGUGCAAGCGUUGUCCGGAAUUACCGGGUGUAAAGGGAGCGCAGGCGGGAAGGUAAGUUGGAUGUUUAAUCUACGGGCUCAACCCGUAUCAGCAUUCAAAACUAUUUUUCUUGAGUAGUGCAGAGGUAGGCGGAAUUCCCGGUGUAGCGGUGGAAUGCGUAGAUAUCGGGAGGAACACCAGUGGCGAAGGCGGCCUACUGGGCACUAACUGACGCUGAGGCUCGAAAGCAUGGGUAGCAAACAGGAUUAGAUACCCUGGUAGUCCAUGCCGUAAACGAUGAUUACUAGGUGUGGGAGGAUUGACCCCUUCCGUGCCGCAGUUAACACAAUAAGUAUCCCGCCUGGGGAGUAUGCACGCAAGUGUGAA
rnacentral:rRNA from 1 species